GUUUAACGGCCGCGGUAUUUUGACCGUGCAAAGGUAGCGCAAUCACUUGUCUUUUAAAUGAAGACCCGUAUGAAUGGCACAACGAGGGCUUAACUGUCUCCUUUUUCCCGUCAAUGAAAUUGAUCUCCCCGUGCAGAAGCGGGGAUACGCCCAUAAGACGAGAAGACCCUAUGGAGCUUUAGGCUUCUGAACAGACUAUGUUAAGCCCCUAAUACAAAAGACAAAACUAAUUAGACCCCGUUCAAAUGCCUUUGGUUGGGGCGACCGCGGGGAAAUAAAAAACCCCCACGUGGACUAAGAACACUACUCCUCUUAAAACCAAGAACCACCACUCUAAGCAACAGAACUUCUGACCAAAAAUGAUCCGGCAAAGCCGAUCAACGGACCGAGUUACCCUAGGGAU
rnacentral:rRNA from 1 species